rnacentral:rRNA from 1 species
GCCUAAUACAUGCAAGUCGAACGGUCUUUCUAUGGAAGCUUGCUUCCACUGAGAAGAUAGUGGCGAACGGGUGAGUAACACGUGGGUAACCUGCCCAUAAGAGGGGGAUAACAUCCGGAAACGGGUGCUAAUACCGCAUAGUUUUCUUGAUCGCAUGAUUGAGAAAGGAAAGACGGCCUUUGUGCUGUCGCUUAUGGAUGGACCCGCGGCGUAUUAGUUAGUUGGUGAGGUAACGGCUCACCAAGACGAUGAUACGUAGCCGACCUGAGAGGGUGAUCGGCCACAUUGGGACUGAGACACGGCCCAAACUCCUACGGGAGGCAGCAGUAGGGAAUCUUCCGCAAUGGACGAAAGUCUGACGGAGCAACGCCGCGUGAGUGAAGAAAGGUUUUCGGAUCGUAAAACUCUGUUGUCAGAGAAGAACAAGUUGGAGAGUAACUGCUCCAGCCUUGACGGUAUCUGACCAGAAAGCCACGGCUAACUACGUGCCAGCCGCCGC